CAGUCGCCGCGGUAAUUCGUAGGGUGCGAGCGUUAAUCGGAAUUACUGGGCGUAAAGCGUGCGCAGGCGGUUGUGUAAGACAGGUGUGAAAUCCCCGGGCUUAACCUGGGAACUGCGCUUGUGACUGCACAGCUAGAGUAUGGCAGAGGGGGGUGGAAUUCCACGUGUAGCAGUGAAAUGCGUAGAGAUGUGGAGGAACACCGAUGGCGAAGGCAGCCCCCUGGGCCAAUACUGACGCUCAUGCACGAAAGCGUGGGGAGCAAACAGGAUUAGAUACCCUGUAGUCCCUGUCUCUUAUACA
rnacentral:rRNA from 1 species